GGCUGAUGCGACCUCAAACUCUCACGGGCAUUAUUUCGAAGAACGCGGAAAUCUUGAACCAACCGCCAUUUCUCCAGAAGCGAAAAAAAAAAAAGAGUCCGGAUGCAGAAUUUGUUCCACGUGCACCACUGGGUCACUGCCUCUUCGAAGAACCUUGAGAACAAAACUCUCACCUUCCUACUUGCCACUAAUUAUUGCCCAGCAGCUGCAUUCGUGGAGUUGCAUCACUGUCCAGAGGCAUAAACAUGCCACUGAAAGUAAAAGGAGGCAUUGACAGAUCCCAGGCUUCACUGGAAAACAUAACAUCAUCUCACUUGUCAUGGAGCAAUGCUGACUCAGUUCUUGAGACAGACAAAGGAAGACAGAGACGUAACAGAGUUGAGGCAGUAUGGUCACUGUCUCAAGUUAUCUGAAGCUGCAAACCCAGAAGCUGUUAAAGUGAGUCUAUUAAAGAGCAAUAAAUAUUGUAUAAGUUAAAUCAAGUGUUAGUUAUGAGUGUCAAGAAGUUGUUUUAGCCCGUCCACUGCCACACAAGGAUUACAUUCCACAUAUUGUUUUUGUGCAUAAUGAAGACACACAUUUGUUUCCACUUUGUAUGUUCUGUGGGAUAUACACGGGUCCAUAUGAUUCUACAAAAUGAUCACAGGAUGAAUAAAUGUCAUUUUAUUUCACAGUCCACAAAGACACACCAUUUUACUUCAUAUUAAUAUAAA